rnacentral:rRNA from 1 species
AACGAACGCUGGCGGCAGGCCUAACACAUGCAAGUCGAGCGAGAUCUUCGGGUCUAGCGGCGGACGGGUGAGUAACGCGUGGGAAUAUGCCUCUUGGUACGGAAUAGCCUCGGGAAACUGGGAGUAAUACCGUAUGUGCCCUUCGGGGGAAAGAUUUAUCGCCAAGAGAUUAGCCCGCGUUGGAUUAGGUAGUUGGUGGGGUAAUGGCCUACCAAGCCGACGAUCCAUAGCUGGUUUGAGAGGAUGAUCAGCCACACUGGGACUGAGACACGGCCCAGACUCCUACGGGAGGCAGCAGUGGGGAAUCUUAGACAAUGGGGGCAACCCUGAUCUAGCCAUGCCGCGUGAGUGAUGAAGGCCUUAGGGUUGUAAAGCUCUUUCAGCUGGGAAGAUAAUGACGGUACCAGCAGAAGAAGCCCCGGCUAACUCCGUG